GCCUUCUGCCCCACCCACCGAUCCGCCCCUACCCUCACCUUAUUUAAGGAACCAGCCCGCUCUGCUCGGCACCUGGUUCUAGUUUUCGAUCUCCGGUGGUUCUGCGGGAGCCUCGAGAAAGACUUGUCUGAAAUUCUCGUCUCACCUCUUGUCAGUUUCUAUUGCCUGAAAAGCCCAAGGACCCAGGGUCUUCCGAUGCUGCUCAUGGGUUUCUCAUUGUAGUGGCUUCUGUUGCAGAUCACAGGCUCUAGGACAAUCAAGCUUCAGUAGUUGCAGCACUAUGGGGUCUGUAAUCAUGGCUCAGGAGCUCAGUUGUUCUGUGGCACGUGGAAUCCUCUGGACCAGGGACUGACUGCAUGUCCCUGGUGUUAGCAGGGGACUCCCAUCUACUGAACCACCAGGGAAGUCCUUGCUGCUGCUGCUAAGUCACUUCAGUCGUGUCCGACUCUGCGUGACCCCAUAGAUGUCAGCCCACCAGGCUCUCCUGCCCCUGGGAUUCUCCAGGCAAGAACACUGGAGUGGGUUGCCAUUUCCUUCUCCAAUGCAUGAAAGUGAAGUUGCUCAGUCGAGUCCAACUCUUAGCGACCUCAUGGACUGCAGCCCACCAGGCUCCUCCAUCCAUGGGAUUUUCCAGGCAAGAGUACUGGAGUGGGGUGCCAUUGUCUUCUCUGAGGGAAGUCCUUAAUGUACUUUUAUUUGCUUUUUUUUCACUGUACUUUUAAAUUGCUUUUCCUAAUGAAUAUUGAGUGUGUUUUCAUGUGCUAUUGACCAAACAUAUCUUCUUUUGUUAAGAAUCUAUUCUAACUUUUUGUCAUGUUAUUAUUGGGUUGUUAACUUAUUGUUGAAUUUUAAGAUACAUAUAUUCUGGAUAUAAAAUUAAAUAUAUGUUUUACAAAUAUUUUAUUAGAUUUUAUGGUUUGUCUCUGUUUUCUUUACAAUGUCAACAAAGAACAAGGUUUCAAUGUUGAUAAAGUAUAAUUUAUCAACACCGAUUUUCUGUAAUCGGUGAUUAGAUUGUAUCUCGUCUGAGAAAUUUCUCUUGUACCAGGGUUGUGAUGAUUUUCUCCAAUGUAUUUUCUAGACCUUACAUAUUAUUAGCUUUUACUUUUAUGUAUAUGAUCCAUUUUGAGUUAAUAUUUAUCUAUAAGGAUCAGUGUUCACUUUUCUUCAGGUAAUAUCCAGUGGUUCACCUUUUGUUGGAAAGACUUUUCCCAUUAAAUUGCCUUCACACAGUCAAAAAUCAGUUGAAAAAAUAAAUAUAUAAAGCAUAGUUUAUAUAAUGUAUAUC
ensembl:lncRNA